rnacentral:piRNA from 1 species
UCCAAACUGCUGGACCAUUUGGACACCUGC